GCGAGGGUGGCGGAACUGGCAGACGCGCUGGUUUUAGGAACCAGUGGGCAACCGUGGGGGUUCGAAUCCCCCCCUUCGCA
rnacentral:tRNA from 1 species